rnacentral:rRNA from 1 species
CAGUAGCCGCGGUAAUACGUAGGACCCGAGCGUUGUCCGGAUUUAUUGGGCGUAAAGCGAGCGCAGGCGGCUAGAUAAGUCUGAAGUUAAAGGCUGUGGCUUAACCAUAGUACGCUUUGGAAACUGUUUAACUUGAGUGCAAGAGGGGAGAGUGGAAUUCCAUGUGUAGCGGUGAAAUGCGUAGAUAUAUGGAGGAACACCAACGGCGAAAGCACUCUGCUGGGCCGACACUGACACUGAGAGACGAAAGCUAGGGAAGCAAAUGGGAUUAGAUACCCCUGUAGUCCCUGUCUCUUAUACC